CCUUCUCUCCUUUGUGACACAACCCUUUACUGUCUUUCUUCCUCUCCGGCAACCAUAGCCGUUGUCCCUAGCAGCAGCCUCUCUCUAUCCUUCUCUUCUCGAGAGCAACACCUGCUGUUUUGUUUUUCAGCCAACAACAAAACCCUCAACGACAGCCAUCGGAGUUAGCCAGGGCCAUCCUCCAAAUCCAAUCGGAACUUCUACUCAUCUACCAUCGUUGCUCUUGGUUAUCGCUGUUGGAGUUGAUCUUCCUCUUGGUGACAAGCUAAGGGUUCCCCGUCGAUGUCCACGCUUCUCGUGUUGCUGCUCCUUGCACCACUGUUCGCACCUUCUUCGAGUUCUAUAGAUCUCGCACACGAAUCACUGGAAUUCUGGAUUUCUUCGGAGCACACAAAACUGAUCUUGUAGAGAACUUUUUUUGCAACCCUUCAUCUCUGAAAAGCCCUCUCUAGAACCUUCUUCGAGCGCAAUUUGACGAGUUCAUCAAGGCUCAUAUCGAGGAGCUGAUCGAGGUCUACACUGCAGUAAGAGAACUUCCUGAAGGUCCUCUUUUUCAGAUGCGCCCCUCCGAAGCAUUCGCCAUGAUUUUUUGAUUCUCUCUAGCUAUGAAUUCUGUGGAACUGAAGAACAGAUUUUGACGGUCAUCGACCCUUAUGUGGAGGUGGUUUAUUUGUUCGAUUCACUUAAUCAUCGCAAUCAUCAUGAGGACUGGAAAUAUGUAGUGGAUAUGGUCCUCGUCAACCUGAUGUGAAACAAUGUGGGUUUUAUGUGAUGAAAUUUAUGAGAAAUUAUUGAAAGAAAUGCUAUCAGCAAGAAGGAUUCAUUUUUCUCAAUGGGAGUGAAGAGUUACUCUGUAAAGUUGAUAAGGACUACAUAUUAAGGACUAGAUUUAUUAUGGAACUGAUGAUCAACAAUGUUGAAAAAGGUUGACAUGGAAGAAUCAGCAAGUGAGAAAGAGGAGUCCAAUGAAAUCCUACAAGUUGAAGAUUGUGAUGGGACUUGGGUUGAUAAUAAUUAAGUGUAAUCCUAUCUAGCAUGAACCACCAUCACAAGUUUCUAGUCUUUUAGCUAUUGUUCAUUAGUUGUAAAUAGAGUUUAUUUAUUUAUUUGUAUUGGGAUAAAUUUUAUUUAAAU